AUCGAACGCUGGCGGCAGGCCUAACACAUGCAAGUCGAACGGUAACAGGAAGCAGCUUGCUGCUUUGCUGGCGAGUGGCGGACGGGUGAGUAAUGUCUGGGUAACUGCCUGAUGGAGGGGGAUAACUACUGGAAACGGUAGCUAAUACCGCAUAACGUCGCAAGACCAAAGAGGGGGACCUUCGGGCCUCUUGCCAUCGGAUGUGCCCAGAUGGGAUUAGCUAGCAGGUGGGGUCACGGCUCACCUAGGCGACGAUCCCUAGCUGGCAUGAGAGGAUGGCCAGCCACACUGGAACUGAGACACGGUCCAGACUCCUACAGGAUGCAGCAGUGGGGAAUAUUGCACAAUGGAGGCAAGCCUGAUGCAGCAAUGCCGCGUGUAUGAAGAAGGCCUUAGGGUUGUAAAGUACUUUCAGCGGGAGGGAAGGGAGUAAAGUUAAUACCUUUGCUCAUUGACGUUACCCGCAGAAGAAGCACCGGCUAACUCCGUG
rnacentral:rRNA from 1 species